AAUGGCACUGGAAGAAUUCACGGCGAGUAAUACUUGAUGCCGUGAUUUCUCUAGUGCUGUAGA
rnacentral:pre_miRNA from 1 species